rnacentral:rRNA from 1 species
UGGGGAAUUUUCCGCAAUGGGCGAAAGCCUGACGGAGCAACGCCGCGUGAGGGAUGAAGGCCUCUGGGCUGUAAACCUCUUUUAUCAAGGAAGAAGAUCUGACGGUACUUGAUGAAUAAGCCACGGCUAAUUCCGUGCCAGCAGCCGCGGUAAUACGGGAGUGGCAAGCGUUAUCCGGAAUUAUUGGGCGUAAAGCGUCCGCAGGCGGUCUUUUAAGUCUGUUGUUAAAGCGUGGAGCUUAACUCCAUUUCAGCAAUGGAAACUGGAAGACUAGAGUGUGGUAGGGGCAGAGGGAAUUCCCGGUGUAGCGGUGAAAUGCGUAGAUAUCGGGAAGAACACCAGUGGCGAAGGCGCUCUGCUGGGCCAUAACUGACGCUCAUGGACGAAAGCCAGGGGAGCGAAAGGGAUUAGAUACCCCCGUAGUC